rnacentral:lncRNA from 1 species
CAUCGUAGACGAUAGCAACGAUCAGAUAGCAGACACUCUCCUCGAUCCCCAACUCAAGGAUGAAGAAGCUCAGCCCUCAUCCGACAAGGAAGCCUCCUCAUCGCUAUUUUCAGGUUGGAGAGAUGCGAGUUCCAAAUACGGCAUUAUCCAUAGCAGGUGGGCUUUGUAGUUCUUAAAACCGUCGAUAAACCCGCUGGCGGCAAUGUCGAUGACCUUCCUCUUAAACUCUAUAGAGUCUCGGUACUUCUGAAUGCAACGGGCCCAAACGUCAGGAGGAAUGUGCUCGAACUGGAGGGUGUGAUGACCCCUGAGCCUUAGCAGAGAUCGUGAGGCAGAAGAUGCCCAA